GAUGAAGAACGUAGCGAAAUGCGAUAAGUAAUGUGAAUUGCAGAAUUCAGUGAAUCAUCGAAUCUUUGAACGCACCUUACACCCUUUGGCAUUCCGAAGGGUAUGCUCGUUUGAGUGUCAUUGUACUCUCACACUCUCCGAUCCUAUGGAUUCGGGGAGCGGUGGGCUUGGGUGUUGCUGCCUUUCCCUGUGGCUCACCUCAAAUGCGUCAGUGCACCUCUUGGUUGGACAUAGUACGGCGUGAUAAGUGUCUUCGCCGGCACCUCGCAAGAGGGUGGCCGAUCGGGAGCUCUGCGCUUUCAAACCGUCUUCGGACAAUUUCUGACAUCUUGACCUCAAAUCGAGUAGGACUACCCGCUGAACUUAAGCAUAUCAAUAAGCGGAGGA
rnacentral:misc_RNA from 1 species